rnacentral:rRNA from 1 species
GAUGAACGCUGGCGGCGUGCCUAAUACAUGCAAGUCGAGCGAACAGACGAGGAGCUUGCCCCUCUGACGUUAGCGGCGGACGGGUGAGUAACACGUGGAUAACCUACCUAUAAGACUGGGAUAACUUCGGGAAACCGGAGCUAAUACCGGAUAAUAUAUUGAACCGCAUGGUUCAAUAGUGAAAGACGGUUUUGCUGUCACUUAUAGAUGGAUCCGCGCCGCAUUAGCUAGUUGGUAAGGUAACGGCUUACCAAGGCGACGAUGCGUAGCCGACCUGAGAGGGUGAUCCGCCACACUGGAACUGAGACACGGUCCAGACUCCUACGGGAGGCAGCAGUAGGGAAUCUUCCGCAAUGGGCGAAAGCCUGACGGAGCAACGCCGCGUGAGUGAUGAAGGUCUUCGGAUCGUAAAACUCUGUUAUUAGGGAAGAACAAAUGUGUAAGUAACUAUGCACGUCUUGACGGUACCUAAUCAGAAAGCCACGGCUAACUACGUG